UGUAUUUUCAUGUUCAGUUUGCACAUACAUUUUUGUGUUUUGAGAUCUUGUCAGUUUUGCGUGGUUUACAUUUGUUUUUCGUUUUUCAUCUUCAUGUUCAAGUUGAUUUCUGUUAGAUUCUUAACAUAGCUUAUUAUUUUUAGAUUUUAUUUAUUUUUGAUUUUGCUUACUAAUGGCUUUUGUGUUGUUGUUAACGGUGUUCCCAGUCUGAUAAGGAGUUGUUGCUUACUCAGUUAUAUUUAUUUUGCUGGAGUUUUUGGUGUGAAGAUGUUGCAUAUUGAGUUGUAUUUAUUCAGAUCCAGUUCUUAGGUGUGAAGAUGUUCGUGUUCGUUUCCUUCUUCCAGAUUCAGAUUCUUCCUUUUUCAUAGGAGGAGUUCAUUAUUUACAUAUGCCUGACCAUACAUUGCAAGAUCUUGGAUUCUCCCUUCUCGCGGUUGGUUACGGCUAACAAUACAGAGCACAGGAAAAGCUCAAGAAGGUUUCCGGUAAUUGUAAAAUUUAAGUUGAUAGUGAAGGUUUCCGGUAAGCUGACUAUGGCGGUGUCGUGGACUGCAACGAUGUUUCAGAGCUUAGUGGAUAUUGUUUUCAUUUUUCUUUGUCAGCUUAGAGAGGGAGGACCAUGUGAGGAUAUCAGCUCUGCUGGCCAGUCUUCUAGCAUUAAUGAAUGUAUUCUUCCUGCAAAAGAAUUUGAUGGCAUGUGGGAAAGGUUCUUACUUCUUUAUAGGUCAUGCCUUUCCCUCGAUUAGAGGUAUACCUUUACAACUAUUUUUUCCAGCCUUCGCAAAAUACCGAUGAAUAGAAACCAACUCCACUAGACAGAAAAGAACAAUUACGGAAAAAUAAAUUUAUCUUUAUAAAUCACUUUAUUUUUCUUACUUUUGUGUCCUCCACAUGUUUGAUAUAAUAUUUUUCUUAUUUGUGAAAGAUGUGACCUACUGUGAUGUGGGUUUGUGAGGCGGUAUAAAUAUCUAUGAAAGACCAUCCUACAAACAAGGGAGGCAGGGUCAUUGAUAUGAUAAAGAGAAGCUGGUUUUUAGUGUUGUAGUUACUUUCUCAUUGCUUUCUGUUAAAUUAUCCAUAUAACAACCCUCUUCCAGAUCUUGAUUUACGUGAUCGCUGAUAAUUUAAUCACUCAUACUUUUUAUACACUAUUCUCUGGUUUUCUACAGAGGAUACAUUUGAGUGGAGUAAAUGUUCCUGCUCUACCUGUAAACCAAAACGUACUGAAGUGAAGUGGAGAAAGAUACUAGCUGCUUGGUGAGAUACGGAUGGCAAGGUAGCAAACUCCAAUGUCAGUCUCUGCUUAUUAGGUUUUACAACUUUCUAUAGCCUUGGACAAGUUGAGAAUUCGCGGUGCCACUUGCAUAUUGCUGGCGUGCAUGUUGAUCAAGCAGAAUAUAAUAAUUUUUUAUUGUUGGAACAUCAUCUGAAGCAAUAUGCGGAUGCGUGAAAAAAUGGAUGGAAGUUCUGAUUCCCAUAUUAUUACCCUAUGUUCAAAGCCGUCAGAAACCUGGGGGAUACGUGUUAUGGGUUGCUCAUAAUGCUCAUACUUUUGACGUACCGUUAAUGAGUUACGUCGAUGCUCUACAUUGAUUCCUCUGAAUUGGCUCUUUCUGGACAGUUUUUCUAUAGCACGUCAACUAAAGCCUAAAGGUCCAUUUCUGUUUGUUUCAAAGGCUUAUCAAACACUUUGUUUGUUGAGGUUUAAUUUAUAUUUGUUUUUUGUUUGUUUUAUAUUCGCUUUUACUUAUUUCUAUGUCUUCUGUAUUUUUCUUACAAUGUCUACUUUCUGUAGUGUUCUGCUUCUAUUAUUUAUUAUUCUCAUGCUUUUGUGAUGCUGUCGAUGGACAUCCUUGGGCCCUUGACUAUAUAAUCAGUUACAUGUCAGUGUUCUACUUCUACUAUUUCCCUAAUUUUAGUUCUGGUUAAAUCUGCAGAUUGCUUUUGUGUAUAAGUAAUUAUUGUUUGUGUGGACACCUUUCUUAAGCCAUGCCAACAGAAUUACUUUGUUUGCUUGUGGGUUGGCAAAAGUUGGUGCUGGCUUUGGCAAUUGGUUGUGAUAAACAUUUCCUGUUAUAUAUCUUUAUGUUUACAUGUGAGGUUUGAACAUCUUAAUAUAUUGACUUGUGUUACUGGUUUGUUUGAAGCUAAGUUCGUAAUCUUUUGUGUUCCAUUGUACUUAAAGCCUUGCGCAUAUUCAAAUCAAUGAUACUAUAAAAUUAUGUGUGGUCUUUCACUAUUUUAUCAAGACAAAUAACUUGGGAAUGGUUUAAAUAGAGAUUUGAUUGCAUGCUGCUAAAACUUCUAAUAGAGGCUUUCCUUCAAAAUAUUUUCUACACUUGUAUUGUAUAUUUGGUCAACAAGUUCUUAAAAUUAAAUUUGCUCAACAAUUUAAGUGUAUGCUUAUUUGGGCUUUGCUUAUCCUCUUUAUGCUUUAGAUAUAUAUAUUUGAGACAGGUACCUGUAAAUAGCACUUGCUUCAAUGACGGUUCAAUGCAUCUUUUUCAUGUAAUCUACUAACUGCUGAAUGAGAGAGGGAUGAUGACAUAUUUUAUUUCACUUGUAAUUUAUUCCUGCCUUUUUUUUAGAAUGAAUAGAUUUUAAAGAUUGAUAAGCCAUUUUAUAAGUAAACAAUUUUAACUUUUCUUUUCUAAUGAAGUCCAACUUUGCAUUCAUUUUUUCUUUCUUUCCCAACUUUCAUAAUGAGAAGCCACUUAAAUAAGUAAUUUAUUAUUAUUAUUAUUAUUAUUUAUUAUUAUUAUUAUUAUUAUUAUUAUUAUUAUUAUUAUACAUAGAGCAGUCAUUUUCAAAACUAGUGUCUUACCCGUGCGU